rnacentral:rRNA from 1 species
GAUGAACGCUAGCGGGAGGCUUAACACAUGCAAGUCGAGGGGCAACACGAGGUAGCAAUACUUUGGUGGCGACCGGCGCACGGGUGAGUAACGCGUAUGCAACCUGCCCUUUACCGGGGGAUAACCCGGAGAAAUUCGGACUAAUACUCCAUAAGGAUAUUGAGAGGCAUCUUUUGAUAUUUAAAGCCACGGUGGUAAAGGAUGGGCAUGCGUAACAUUAGCUAGUUGGGAGGGUAACGGCCUGCCAAGGCUAUGAUGUUUAGGGGGACCUGAGAGGGUGAACCCCCACACUGGUACUGAGACACGGACCAGACUCCUACGGGAGGCUG